rnacentral:rRNA from 1 species
UGAGGAAUAUUGGUCAAUGGGCGGGAGCCUGAACCAGCCAAGCCGCGUGAGGGAAGAAAGCGCUCAGCGUCGUAAACCUCUUAGCCGGGGAACAAAGAGCUUCUCGUGAAGGAGCGUUGAGCGUACCCGGAGAAUAAGCAUCGGCUAACUCCGUGCCAGCAGCCGCGGUAAUACGGAGGAUGCGAGCGUUAUCCGGAUUUAUUGGGUUUAAAGGGUGCGCAGGCGGACGCGCAAGUCUGCGGUCAAAUUCCGGGGCUCAACCCCGGACCGCCGUGGAAACUGUGCGACUAGAGUGGGCGAGAGGCAUGCGGAAUGCGCGGUGUAGCGGUGAAAUGCUUAGAGAUCACGCAGAACUCCGAUUGCGAAGGCAGCAUGCCGGCGCCUUACUGACGCUCAUGCACGAAAGCGUGGGGAUCGAACAGGAUUAGAUACC